rnacentral:rRNA from 1 species
AUCAGAUGAGCCUAGGUCGGAUUAGCUAGUUGGUGAGGUAAUGGCUCACCAAGGCGACGAUCCGUAACUGGUCUGAGAGGAUGAUCAGUCACACUGGAACUGAGACACGGUCCAGACUCCUACGGGAGGCAGCAGUGGGGAAUAUUGGACAAUGGGCGAAAGCCUGAUCCAGCCAUGCCGCGUGUGUGAAGAAGGUCUUCGGAUUGUAAAGCACUUUAAGUUGGGAGGAAGGGCUGUAGGCUAAUAUCCUGCGGUUUUGACGUUACCAACAGAAUAAGCACCGGCUAACUUCGUGCCAGCAGCCGCGGUAAUACGAAGGGUGCAAGCGUUAAUCGGAAUUACUGGGCGUAAAGCGCGCGUAGGUGGUUCGUUAAGUUGGAUGUGAAAGCCCCGGGCUCAACCUGGGAACUGCAUCCAAAACUGGCGAGCUAGAGUACGGUAGAGGGUAGUGGAAUUUCCUGUGUAGCGGUGAAAUGCGUAGAUAUAGGAAGGAACACCAGUGGCGAAGGCGACUACCUGGACUGAUACUGACACUGAGGUGCGAAAGCGUGGGGAGCAAACAGGAUUAGAUACCCUGGUAGUCCACGCCGUAAACGAUGUCAACUAGCCGUUGGAAUCCUUGAGAUUUUAGUGGCGCAGCUAACGCAUUAAGUUGACCGCCUGGGGAGUACGGCCGCAAGGUUAAAACUCAA